rnacentral:rRNA from 1 species
GACGAACGCUGGCGGCGUGCCUAAUACAUGCAAGUAGAACGCUUAAGGAGGAGCUUGCUUCUCUGGAUGAGUUGCGAACGUGUGAGUAACGCGUAGGUAACCUUCCUGGUAGCGGGUGAUAACUAUUGGAAACGAUAGCUAAUACCUCAUAAGAGUAGAUGUCGCAUGACAUUUUCUUAAAAGGUGCAUUUGCAUCACUACCAGAUGGACCUGCGUUGUAUUAGCUAGUUGGUGAGGUAACGGCUCACCAAGGCAACUAUACAUAGCCGAGCUGAGGGGGGGAUCCGCCAACAUGGGACUGAGAAACGGGCCAGAACCCUACGGGAGGGAGCAGUAGGGAAACUUUGGAAAUGGACGGAAGGCUGAACGAGGAACGCCGGGGGAGUGAAGAAGGGUUUCGGAUUGGAAAGGUAUGUUGUAAGAGAAGAAAGAGUGUGAGAGUGGAAAGUUCACGCUGUGACGGUAUCUUAACAGAAAGGGACGGCUAACUACGUG